AUGGAAGCAUUCAAUCAUAUUUGUUUUUUCUCACAGCAGUUUAUAUACCUCUCCAUGGAUCAUUCAGGUGUACAAAUAUGGAUUUUCACUUUUGACCUGCAGUAUUUGACGGUCUCUAUGUGGAGGGUUUCAGAACUUUCUCUAGGUGCAGACCGGAUUAGUAGCGGUACAUGCUUGCAACUAGCAAAAAUUGCAAGAUGCAGGGUUGCGUUUUCUCUUUCCAAUGCAUGGUGGAUGACCGCUAAUGUAUGUGGGAUAUGGAUGUCUUCAUAUUUGUGGUGGGUACAAGUAAUGUUAAAUUGA
rnacentral:rRNA from 1 species